rnacentral:misc_RNA from 1 species
GGUUUCUAAGUUGACCUCACAUAGGUUAAUGAGAAACAUGAUGUCUGAAGAGGCUGGACAGAUGCUUGUGGUUUAUGAUGAACCCUCAGAGCAGCAAUCUCUGUCCUUAGAUGAUACCAGUAGCACAGAGGAAUCACCUGAUGAAACCAGACUAUCAUUAGAAUCUAAUAAUGAUGUAAUUCCAUAUAUUGGGCAGAGGUUCGCUACCCAUGAUGCAGCUUAUGAUUUCUACUGUGAAUUUGCAAGGCGAUGUGGAUUCUCAAUCCGUCGUCAUCGCACAGAAGGAAAAGAUGGGGUUGGCAAAGGACUCACCAGACGUUAUUUUGUCUGUCACCGUGCUGGAAAUACUCCUGUCAAAACCUCAAAUGAAAGCAAGCCUCAGAGGAACAGAAAAUCCUCCCGGUGUGGGUGUCAAGCAUAUAUGAGGAUAAGCAAAACCACAGAGUUAGGGACAACAGAAUGGCGUGUCACUGGUUUUGCAAACCACCAUAAUCAUGAACUCCUAGAACCAAAUCAAGUCCGUUUCCUUCCAGCAUAUCGAACCAUAUCAGAUAUGGACAAGAGCAGAAUUCUUAUGUUUGCCAAAACAGGAAUUUCAGUGCAGCAAAUGAUGAGGCUCAUGGAGCUUGAAAAAUGCGUGGAGCCAGGAUAUUUACCAUUCACUGAGAAGGAUGUGAGGAAUUUACUUCAGUCCUUCAGGAAAUUGGAUCCAGAGGACGAAAGCAUAGACUUAUUAAGAAUGUGCAGAAACAUCAAAGAGAAAGACCCCAACUUUAAAUUUGAAUACACACUUGAUUCAAACAAUAAGUUAGAGAAUAUAGCUUGGUCAUACGCAUCAUCAAUCCAGUCAUAUGAGAUCUUUGGUGAUGCAGUAGUGUUUGAUACAACACAUCGCUUGGCUGCAUUUGACAUGCCUCUUGGAAUAUGGGUUGGAGUGAACAACUAUGGAAUGCCGUGUUUCUUCGGCUGUGUGCUUUUACGAGAGGAAAAUUUAAGGUCAUUAUCAUGGGCAUUGAAGGUAUUAAAAUUGAAGUAAUUUCCCCUUUAUCAAUCGAUCACCUUAUAUUGCACAUGUAGCACCUUUUAAUUUAAUUUGAUUCUAUUUAUUACCCUUAUCCUUUUAGCUGGAGCUAUUAGCAAAAAGAAAGCGUAGAUUCUGAAAUUAAUGAUUAGAAACUAAUAUAUAAUAUUAAUAUGCGGGAUAUAGUUGAUGUGGUAGACAUGAAAUAAUUGGCUAGUCAGGUAUUUGCAACAUUUGCUAAUGUAUUUUGGAACUGCCAACACUCACUAAAGUAUGCUGGAUGUGUUUUAUGGAUGUGGGAUAAUUAAGCAAAGUUGUGUUCAAACUUUUGAAUGUUGGGCAAUGGGCCAACUAGUCACUAACACUAUCCCUGCUAAAUUUGUUAAGUCACUUGCGUGAAUAUAGUUUAGUCCAACAAAUUGUGGAUGAACUCCUGAUGUCCAUUCUGUGACAGCUAGUCAUAAAAUUAAGCUUUGAAAUGGUGGGUUCAUAAUUGAUGAUAUGGUUCUUGGACACAUGCAAUCAUACAUACACAGAUUCUGUCACAAAGAGUUCUGUUGCUCCCAUAUUUACUUUGGUGUUCUGUGUUACGUUGUUUAUAUGAAAGGCGUUCUUAGGGUUUAUGAAUGGGAAGGCUCCACAAACAAUUCUAACUGACCAAAAUAUGUGCCUCAAAGAAGCAAUAGCAAUGGAAAUGCCAACAACAAAACAUGCUCUUUGCAUAUGGAUGACUGUGGCAAAGUUUCCAUCCUGGUUUAAUGCUGUUCUGGGAGAACGUUAUACUGAGUGGAAGGCAGAGUUCCAUCGACUCUAUAACCUGGAGUCAAUUGAGGAUUUUGAGCUGGGUUGGAGGGACAUGGUUAAUUCUUUUGGGCUGCACAAUAAUAGGCACCUUGCCAACUUGUAUACCUUGCGCACUCUUUGGGCAUUACCAUACUUGAGAAGCCAUUUCUUUGCAGGAAUGACUGCAGCUGGUUAUUCAAAAUCAAUUAAUGCUUUCAUCCAACGAUUUCUGAGCGCACAGACUCGGCUUGCACACUUUGUGGAACAAGUUGCUGUUGCUGUAGAUUUUAAAGAUCAAGCUGCUGAUCAGCAAACAAUGCAGCAGAAUCUCCAAAACAUAUGCCUAAAAACAGGGGCACCUAUGGAAUCCCAUGCUGCCACAGUCCUUACGCCAUAUGCCUUCUCUAAGCUCCAGGAACAACUUGUUUUGGCUAACCACUAUGCAUCAUUCCAGAUGGAAGAUGGGUUUCUUGUGAGACACCAUACUAAACUUGAGGGAGGCCGGAAAGUAUAUUGGGUUCCUAGGGAAGGCAUCAUUAGUUGCAGUUGCCAUCAGUUUGAGUUCUCUGGAAUUCUUUGUCGGCAUGCUCUCCGAGUUCUUUCCACAGGAAAUUGUUUUCAGAUUCCAGAAAGGUAUCUCCCCACCCGUUGGAGUAGAAUCAGCACAACUCCAGCGAAACUUCUUCACGGUUCUCCAAAUGAUCAUGGAGAAAGGAUACAGUUAUUGCAGAACAUGGUAUCAACUCUAAUAACUGAAUCUGCCAAGUCAAAAGAAAGGCUGGACAUUGCUACUGAGCAAGUUUCCAUCCUCUUAUCUCGCAUCAGGGAGCAGCCAGUUCCAUCACAUGGUGUGAGAGAGAUCGCAUCCACUCAUCAAAAUAUUUAGCCAAAAGACAAUACCAUUGUUUGAAUUAUCUUGGAAAGCAGGAGGAAACAUGCCAACAUUUUGGUAAAAAAAGCAAGUUGGCUAUAUCUGUGAAGCAAUGAUUAAAUGAAUUUACUUGCUCGUGGAUUGAAAUUCUGCAUGAAAAUUUUUGUAACUUUGGUUCAUGCAAUCAUAUCAUCAUACAUGGUGUUGUAUUUCCCUGACAGCAUGUUUC